UAAACUAUUUAAAAUUUCAAAAUCAAAAUGAAGAACUCCUAAACACGAGUAUAAACUAUUUAAAAUUUCAAAAUCAAAUGAAGAACUCCUAAAUACGAGUAUAAACUAUUUAAAAUUUCAAAAUCAAAUGAAGAACUCCUAAAUACGAGUAUAAACUAUUUAAAAUUUCAAAAUCAAAUGAAUCUUUUGAUUUUCAUGCAUUUAUCGACCGGAUAUUGCA
rnacentral:lncRNA from 1 species